rnacentral:sRNA from 1 species
CAAAACGUUGGAGACUCAAAACUCCUAUUUAUCCAUAGAACACGUACAGCAUGGGCAGCACUAUUGUAAGCAGCUUCCCUACCCCAUUCCAUCAAUGUGCCUCAUCUCUGACCUGAAAGGACUAUCUUUAAGGGUGAAAGUUCAUUGUAUAUAACUAUUUAGCCCCUGAUUUCU